rnacentral:rRNA from 1 species
AUUGAACGCUGGCGGCAGGCCUAACACAUGCAAGUCGAGCGGAGCGGCGGACGGGCGAGUAAUGCCUAGGAAUCUGCCUGGUAGUGGGGGAUAACGUCCGGAAACGGGCGCUAAUCUCGCAUACUAUCAGAUGAGCCUAGGUCGGAUUAGCUAGUUGGUGGGGUAAAGGCCUACCAAGGCGACGAUCCGUAACUGGUCUGAGCGGAUGAUCAGUCAAACUGGAACGAGGACACGGUCCAGACGCCUACGAGAGGCAGCAGUGGGGAAUAUUGGACAAUGGGCGAAAGGCUGGUCCAGCCAUGCCGAGUGUGUGAAAAAGGUCUUCGGAUUGUAAAGCACUUUAAGUUGGGAGAUGUUACCAACAGAAUAAGCACCGGCUAACUUCGUGCCAGCAGCCGCGGUAAUUC